rnacentral:rRNA from 1 species
UCUGGCUCAGGAUGAACGCUGGCGGCGUGCUUAACACAUGCAAGUCGAACGAGGCACCUUGCAGAAGUUUCGGAUGGAGCGGAGGCGACCGAGUGGCGGACGGGUGAGUAACGCGUGGGGAACCUGCCCAUUCCGGGGAUACCAGUUGGAAACGACUGUAAUACCGCAUAAGCGCACGGAAGGACAUCCUUUUGUGUGAAAAACUGAGGUGGAAUGGGAUGGCCCCGCGUCUGAUUAGCCAGUUGGCAGGGUAACGGCCUACCAAAGCGACGAUCAGUAGCCGGCCUGAGAGGGCGACCGGCCACAUUGGGACUGAGACACGGCCCAAACUCCUACGGGAGGCAGCAGUGGGGAAUAUUGCACAAUGGGGGAAACCCUGAUGCAGCCGACGCCGCGUGAGUGAAGAAGUAUUUCGGUAUGUAAAGCUCUAUCAGCAGGGAAGAAGAUGACGGUACCUGCACAAGAAGCCCCGGCUAACUACGUGCCAGCCGCGGC